rnacentral:rRNA from 1 species
UACGUAGGUGGCAAGCGUUAUCCGGAAUUAUUGGGCGUAAAGCGCACGCAGGCGGUUCUUUAAGUUUGACGUGAAAGCUCCCGGCUUAACUGGGAGAGGUCGUUGAAUACUGAGGAACUUGAGGCAAUGAGAGGGGUGUAGAAUUCCCGGUGUAGUGGUGGAAUGCGUAGAUAUCGGGAGGAAUACCAGUGGCGAAAGCGGCACCCUAGCAUUAGCCUGACGCUCAUGUGCGAAAGCGUGGGGAGCGAAC